CCUACGGGUGGCAGCAGUGGGGAAUAUUGCUCAAUGGGGGAAACCCUGAUGCAGCGACGCCGCGUGAGUGAUGAAGGUUUUCGGUUUGUAAACUCCUUUUAGUAGAGAAGAUAAUGACGGUAUCUAACGAAUAAGCCCCGGCUAACUCCGUGCCAGCAGCCGCGGUAAUACGGAGGGUGCAAGCGUUACUCGGAUUUACUGGGCGUAAAGGGAGCGUAGACGGGAGAGCAAGUCAGAGGUGAAAUCCUAUGGCUUAACCAUAGAACUGCAUUGGAAACUGUUAUGCUAGAGUAGGGGAGAGGUAGGUGGAAUUCUUGGUGUAGCGGUAAAAUGCGUAGAGAUUAAGAGGAAUACCCAUGGCGAAGGCGACUUGCUAGAACAUAACUGACGUUGAGGCGCGAAAGCGUGGGGAGCAAACAGGAUUAGAUACCCUAGUAGUC
rnacentral:rRNA from 1 species